UACGUAGGGGGCAAGCGUUGUCCGGAUUCAUUGGGCGUAAAGAGCUCGUAGGCGGUUCAGCAAGUCGGGUGUGAAACCUCCAGGCUCAACCUGGAGACGCCACCCGAUACUGCUGUGACUUGAGUCCGGUAGGGGACCACGGAAUUCCUGGUGUAGCGGUGAAAUGACGCAGAUAUCAGGAGGAACACCGGUGGCGAAGGCGGUGGUCUGGGCCGGAACUGACGCUGAGGAGCGAAAGCGUGGGGAGCGAACAGG
rnacentral:rRNA from 1 species